UAUAGGAAGAAAACUUUAUUAAAAAUUUUUUUCAUCUUGGAGGUAUACUUGACAAAUAUGUAUAUAUUUAAGGUGUACAAUGCAUUUCAUAUAAAUCUACACUGUGAUAAGAUCACAAUCAAGUUAAAUAGGAUUCAUUACCUCACAUGGGUUACAAUUUUUUAAACUUUUUAUUCCCUCACUCCCCUCCCCUCUGGCAACCACUUAUUUGUUCUCUGUAUGUAUGAGUCUGUUUCUGUUUUGUUAUGUUUAUUUGUUUUGGGGGGAGGUAUGUGGGUUGGCUGCGCCUGCAGCAUGUAGAAGUUCCUGGGCCAGGAUCGAACCUGCAUUGCAGUUGCGACCUGUGCCAUGAUUAUGGCAAUGCCGGGGUCCUUAACCCACUGUGCCACCAGGGAACCUUCCUGCUUUUAGAUUCCACAUAUAAGUGAAAUUGUAUGGUAUUUGUCUUCCUCUGUCUGACAUUUCACUUAGCAUAAUGCCCUCUAGAUCCAUCCAUGUUGUCACAAAUGGCAAGAUAUCAUUCUUUUUAUAGCUGAGUAAUAUUCCAUUAUCAUUCAUUCAUAUUUACACACAUCGCAUCUUCUUUUAUCAAUUCCUAUAUGAAGAAAACUUUAAGGAUCCAAAAGUAGGGCUUUUUCCACAAGGGAAAGACAUACCAUUUUCCCGGAUAGGAAAAUCACCUUUGUACAGAUGUCAGUUCUCUCUAAGUCAGUAUAAAUCACGAAUGAUUUUAAUACAGAAUUCUUCCCGAACCAGAAAAACUGAAUCUUAAUUUGGAGAAUAUCAAAGGAACUAGGAUACUCUGAAAAGGAAACAAAAUUGGGGGGCACUCACUCUUAGAGAUAUUAAAACCAAUGAUUAACCUCAGUAAAUUAACACAACAUGAUAUUAUCCCACGUGUAGACAAACAGACGAAUGGAACAGUAUAGAAAAUUUAGAAACAAAUCUCAAAACACAUGCAAAAUUAACUUGUGAUAAAGGCAGCAUCACAAAUCAAUGAGGAAUAAAGAUAGAAUUUCUUGUAAAUGUUGAGACAACCGACUAAUGAUUCAGGAAAAGAGAAAGUUAGAUUUAUACUUCCUCUCGUACACCAAGAUACUUAUUAAUGGAUCAAAGAUCCACUGUUUAAAAGUGACACUAUGCAAUGUUCUGUUAAAAUAAAAAACAAAGGUAGACCAGACUUGAAAAUUUCUUGAGCAGACAAAACCAGUUUAGUCAUAAGAGCAAAGUUUCAUUUAGCUCAUUUUGCAAGACAAGCCAGGCUAACUGACCUGGGUAUUUCUUGCUUAUGCCUCUGAAAAUCCUCAGCAAGACUUACAUUGUUCCCCCAACUCGAUAUGAAGUAACUACUAACCAAUUCCCUCUAAAAAAAAUUCUUAAUACUGUAACCAAUCACUGUGAAGAAUAAACAGUCACCGUCUCCACACGAUAGAAGAUGCUUUAUAACAUAAAGUUUCUUUCCAUGUUUUGAAUGCUACCGGUUUGUAAGCUUUUUGACGUGUGCACAAUAAACUUUUACUAAUUAUUACUUCAUUGAUGUAUUGGUUUUACUUCUGGUGUUUGUUUUGUCUGAACUUUUAACAAUUUUAAAUGUCAAAAGUGAAAGCAUACAAAUACUACAUUGACCAAACAUACCGCAGUGUCAAUUUAAGCGUCUCCAGCGGAGAUAGGUGACUUUCUGCAGUUCUUCAUUCCCAUAAGCUGGACCAUGGCGCUAGCAAGGCGUUCUCAAAACCCCAUUCCUGAUUUGAGUGAAAAUUCACAAUAGACAUUAAAACAAACAAAACUGUCCUGGAGUAUCCAAGGAUGCAUGCCUUCUGAUUCAGUGUCGGUUGGCCUCAUUCAUCUUCGAGACUCGUAAUACGGUGACUCUCGUUCUGCCUGUCGAACAGCUUUGUAAACGGAUAACAAAACGAGGGCUUAUUAAAGAUGGGACCCCCUUGGAUCCCAGAGAAGCCCUGAAUAGACGGCUCUUCUUUGAAAGGAUGCGGUACUUCCGCCCCCACCCUCCGCAGCUCGUAGUAGACCCUAUGCCGACGCACUC
rnacentral:lncRNA from 1 species